rnacentral:rRNA from 1 species
UACGGGGGGGGCAAGCGUUGUUCGGAAUUACUGGGCGUAAAGGGCUCGUAGGCGGCCAACUAAGUCGGACGUGAAAUCCCCAGGCUCAACCUGGGAACUGCGUCCGAUACUGGAUGGCUUGAAUCCGGGAGAGGGAUGCGGAAUUCCAGGUGUAGCGGUGAAAUGCGUAGAUAUCUGGAGGAACACCGGUGGCGAAGGCGGCAUCCUGGACCGGCAUUGACGCUGAGGUGCGAAAGCCAGGGGAGCAAACGGG